rnacentral:pre_miRNA from 1 species
AAAGUACUCCCUCCGUCCCAAAAUUCUUGUCUUAAAUUUGUUUAGAUACGGAUGUAUCUAAUACUAAAACGUGACUUGAUACAUCCAUAUCUAGACAAAUCUAAGACAAGAAUUUUGAAACGGAUGGAGUAUAUU